rnacentral:lncRNA from 1 species
CUUGCAUAGAAAAGAAUGUUUAUCCCACAGACUCUUCCUUUUUCCCAGCAAUGUUCUCAGGAUUGUAUUUGUCUCUGCCCUAAUUGACCCCACCCCUCACCCUGUAGUCUUUUCCUCAAUCCUCAAUUCUGGAGUUGCAUAGAGUAAAAUUGGGUCUGAACAGACAGGAAUGUGGAACUCUACGUUCCAGUUAGUUAGGGAGUGUGAUCCUGGGAGCUCCAAUGUAUAAACAUCCUUCCCAAGCAAAUAAACUGUCCCAUGGCCAUGCUGAGCUUUGCAACCUGACUCCCCAAAGGACUGUUUAUGUAGCCUGUGGGUAUGUGCUGUGUUCUUCUGGCCUCACACUCACCAAGGGUGUAUUGGCUUGAGGAUGGGGGCUUGGGGAUGGGGGCUGACAUUGGUUUCCACUUUGGGCUCUGUGGAGAGAGAGGAGCUGCCCUAGAGCUCUUCCCAUGGAGUCAAAAGGCUAAGAGACUGCCUUUCCUCUGCCUUCCUGAGUGGCAAGGUAUGCCAGUGAGAAAAAUGAUGUUCUGGCCUUGGAACCACCUCCCAUGGGACCAGAUGCCAAGGAAGCUCCAUUUUCAUCCCCAAGACAUAGGAACAAGUCCAUCAUUGACAACCCAGCCCAGAGAAGCUCUGGAGGGACUGGGCUGAGCCUGAGUUCUCAUUGUGGCCUAACCCUGAAAUGACUGGACUGAGGAAAUCACAAUGGGUGGAUGUUAGCCUCUGACAACAGCUGACUAUUUAUUCAGAUGAGAACAAUUUUCUCUCCCCUUGCACUUUCAACAAACUGGACCUGGAGGACUCUCCCAUGUUUCUGCCAAAAACAAUAAGGGAGAAAAUGGGGGAGGGGGAGAAUCAUCUCCUUUGAAUUGAGCUAUCAGCUGUUCUGUGGGUUUCCUGGAUCUGGGCUAUCUCACUACCCAAAUGGCCCAUUUGCAGCUUAUUGUAAAGAGGGCUGUUUUCCUUCUUAAUCACUGUUAGAGAUAACCAUUCAUAAGGUAUGUGGGAGAGGCCUCUGUGGAAGCAGCUCCCAGUAAGCCUGCCAGCCGUUAUUCCAUGUGGAUAUGGCUUGGAUCUGCCUCUUCAGUUAGAUUAGGAAAUCAGCUGCUCUCUGAGGGAGUCAUUGUAAAUGUCUCAUUGUCAAGCUCUGUGAUGAACUAAAAUGAUUAAUGCCAGGCAUGUGUGAGAGCGAUCUCGUCCUCCAUACAUAUAUAGCUGUGGUGCCAUAGCACAAUGCUCUGAACUUCUACUAUAAAAUCAAGGUCCUUUGCAGUCCUCAAAUAUUAUAAGUCGGUGAUAUGUCCAUUCCUCUUUCAGUCAGGCUUCUCAUUGUUUCACUGGUUAAGGAACCAGAGCAUUGUGGGAUGUGGAGCUCACUCUCCAUGAGGCAAGGAGUUCUGGACAGUUGUUUUCUUUGGCAUUACACAGUCCCAGGAUGUCAUGUGAAAAAAAAAAUUAUAUUGUGUAUUGAACCAUCUGGAUGAACUGGAGAUACUCCAUGGUCCAGGUUGCAGCAGAGCCCUGGUUGAAGCCUCACCAAAGUCUCAGACUGAAAGACUGGGUUCAACCAACCCAAGGAAACUGAGGGCUUAUUUUCAUUGCAUCUGAGAUUGUACAUUAUAAACACACAGAUACCCCUAGAUGAGAUAGG